rnacentral:rRNA from 1 species
UACGUAGGGGGCAAGCGUUGUCCGGAAUCAUUGGGCGUAAAGAGCGUGUAGGCGGUUCAGUAAGUCUGCUGUGAAAGUCCAAGGCUCAACCUUGGGAUGCCGGUGGAUACUGCUGAGCUAGAGUACGGAAGGGGCGAGUGGAAUUCCCGGUGUAGCGGUGAAAUGCGUAGAGAUCGGGAAGAACAUCGGUGGCGAAGGCGCUCUACUGGACCACAACUGACACUCAGGGACGAAAGCUAGGGGAGCGAAUGGG